rnacentral:rRNA from 1 species
GCAAGCCUGAUCCAGCCAUGCCGCGUGUGUGAAGAAGGCCUUCGGGUUGUAAAGCACUUUCAGACGGAACGAAAUCGCGCGGAUGAACAAUCCGCGUGGAUGACGGUACCGUAAGAAGAAGCACCGGCUAACUACGUGCCAGCAGCCGCGGUAAUACGUAGGGUGCAAGCGUUAAUCGGAAUUACUGGGCGUAAAGGGUGCGCAGGCGGCUCCGCAAGUCAGGCGUGAAAUCCCCGGGCUCAACUUGGGAAUGGCGCUUGAAACUACGGGGCUUGAGUGUGGCAGAGGGAGGUGGAAUUCCACGUGUAGCGGUGAAAUGCGUAGAGAUGUGGAGGAACACCGAUGGCGCAGGCAGCCUCCUGGGCCAACACUGACGCUCAUGCACGAAAGCGUGGGGAGCAAACAGGAUUAGAUACCCUGGUAGUCCACGCCCUAAACGAUGACGACUAGUUGUUGGGGGGAGUUAAAAUCCCUUUAGUAACGCAGCUAACGCGUGAAG